GACGAACGCUGGCGGCGUGCUUAACACAUGCAAGUCGAACGGAAAGGCCCUGCUUUUGUGGGGUGCUCGAGUGGCGAACGGGUGAGUAACACGUGAGUAACCUGCCCUUGACUUUGGGAUAACUUCAGGAAACUGGGGCUAAUACCGGAUAGGAGCUCCUGCUGCAUGGUGGGGGUUGGAAAGUUUCGGCGGUUGGGGAUGGACUCGCGGCUUAUCAGCUUGUUGGUGGGGUAGUGGCUUACCAAGGCUUUGACGGGUAGCCGGCCUGAGAGGGUGACCGGCCACAUUGGGACUGAGAUACGGCCCAGACUCCUACGGGAGGCAGCAGUGGGGAAUAUUGCACAAUGGGCGGAAGCCUGAUGCAGCAACGCCGCGUGCGGGAUGACGGUCUUCGGGUUGUAAACCGCUUUCGCCUGUGACGAAGCGUGAGUGACGGUAAUGGGUAAAGAAGCGCCGGCUAACUACGUG
rnacentral:rRNA from 1 species